AUACGUAGGGGGCUAGCGUUAUCCGGAAUUACUGGGCGUAAAGGGUGCGUAGGUGGUUUCUUAAGUCAGAAGUGAAAGGCUACGGCUCAACCGUAGUAAGCUUUUGAAACUAAGAGACUUGAGUGCAGGAGAGGAGAGUAGAAUUCCUAGUGUAGCGGUGAAAUGCGUAGAUAUUAGGAGGAAUACCAGUUGCGAAGGCGGCUCUCUGGACUGUAACUGACACGGAGGCACGAAAGCGUGGGGAGCAAACAGGAUUAGAUCCCCUGUUAGUCCACGCCGUAAACGAUGAGUACUAGCUGUCGGGGGUUACCCCCCUCGGUGGCGCAGCUAACGCAUUAAGUACUCCGCCUGGGAAGUACGCUCGCAAGAGUGAAACUCAAAGGAAUUGACGGGG
rnacentral:rRNA from 1 species